rnacentral:lncRNA from 1 species
CAACGGGAGCCUGCGGCAAGCAACCAACCCGGACGAUCCGAUCUCCAUCUCCAUCUCCAUCUCCCGGCCGUCGGCCGCCUCCACGCACGGCGCGCGUACGUAUUACCACCAGCUCCUUAGCAUUUCCUAGCGGCGGUGGUUACCUCAUUGCUUUCACCCCAGGAAGAGGCAGUUGGCUUUUCCGUGCUAAAGCGGCGUCCGCUAGGGACGCCAAGUCGAUCGAUCGACCCAUCGCCGCCCUGGAAAAGUGAAAGCGUCGGCGAACACCCGAAAGAAGUCGUAAUUUUCCGGGCGCGCGCGCGUCCGGGGAAUCGGCCGAUCCGUAGGUUGAGAUGGCCGCGUCAACCAUCAACUGUGGCCGCCACCUUGCGCUUGUCCCGCGCACACGAACGGCGACGCAUGGGCGGGUGCAUUGGCGCGCAAGCAACGGUGCCCAUCUCGGUUGCGUCUCCCGGCGAGCAGCAGCCUCCGUCGUCCAUGGCAGCAAGGGGACAAGGGAAAGGGUUCGCGCCCGCGCUUUCUUGCGCGUGAAGGGUGCCCCCCGGAGGCGACGCGCGCGAACGCGUGGGGGCGGGCGGAUGAGGAAAAGCGCGAGUAAGAACCUGCGAGACGAAGCAAGCAAAUGCAAAGGGAGAAAGGUUGGAGCGAG